rnacentral:rRNA from 1 species
AUACGGAGGAUCCGAGCGUUAUCCGGAUUUAUUGGGUUUAAAGGGUGCGCAGGCGGCCAUUUAAGUCAGCGGUUAAAUCGUGGGGCUCAACCCCAUUCUGCCGUUGAUACUGGGUGGCUUGAUUGCGGUCGAGGUUGGCGGAAUUCGUUGUGGAGCGGUGAAAUGCAUAGGUAUGACGAAGAACACCGAUUGCGUAGGCAGCUGACCAGACCGCAAAUGACGCUCAUGCACGAAAGUGCGGGGAUCGAACAGGAUUAGAUACCCUGGUAGUCCGCACAGUAAACGAUGAAUACUUGUUUUCGGCGAUAUAAUGUCGGAGGCAAAGCGAAAGCGAUAAGUAUUCCACCUGGGGAGUACGCCGGCAACGGUGAAACUCAAAGGAAUUGACGGGG